rnacentral:rRNA from 1 species
GACGAACGCUGGCGGCGUGCUUAACACAUGCAAGUCGAACGUAAAGGCCCUGCUUUUGUGGGGUGCUCGAGUGGCGAACGGGUGAGUAACACGUGAGUAACCUUCCCUUGACUUUGGGAUAACUUCAGGAAACUGGGGCUAAUACCGGAUAGGAGCUCCUGCUGCAUGGUGGGGGUUGGAAAGUUUCGCCGGUUGGGGAUGGACUCGCGGCUUAUCAGCUUGUUGGUGGGGUAGUGGCUUACCAAGGCUUUGACGGGUAGCCGGCCUGAGAGGGUGACCGGCCAAAUGGGGACAGAGGUACGGCACAGACUGCAACGGGGGGCAGAAGUGGGGAAUAUUGAACAAGGGGCGGAAGCAUGAUGGAGCAACGCCGCGUGCGGGAUGAAGGCCUUCGGGUUGUAAACCGCUUUCGCCUGUGACGAAGCGUGAGUGACGGUAAUGGGUAAAGAAGCACCGGAUAACUACGUG